UACGUAGGUGGCAAGCGUUGUUCGGAAUUACUGGGCGUAAAGCGUGCGCAGGCGGUUCGUUGUGUCCGAUGUGAAAGCCCCGGGCUUAACCUGGGAAUGGCAUUGGAAACUGGCGAGCUUGAGUGCGGCAGAGGGGGGUGGAAUUCCGCGUGUAGCAGUGAAAUGCGUAGAGAUGCGGAGGAACACCGAUGGCGAAGGCAGCCCCCUGGGUCGACACUGACGCUCAGGCACGAAAGCGUGGGGAGCAAACAGG
rnacentral:rRNA from 1 species